rnacentral:lncRNA from 1 species
CUUGUAGAGGUUUAUCUUACUUGCAGAUGCACACCUGAAUUUGAGGAAGACGUGAUAUUUCAGAUAGCACUUCCACAAAUUCUCUUGGUCAGGUGGGCAUCCAACAGGUGGAUGGGAUGUGAAGUGGCUGGGGCUGUCUGGGCACAAAAUACUAUGAGGUCUCUCCUGCCUGUGAGCUGGUGGGAUGAGAUAUAGCUCAGAGCAAUGAGCUGCUGGGUGGGAGGAGCUGGUGGAGCAGAGAGCCCUCAGAGCCACUCUGUAAGUGAAUGGUUGGGCUGCUGCUGAUGCUGCUGAUGAGUCACAUCCAUAAGAUACCAGUGGGGCUGGAGCUGGGCUAGAGUUUUGUGGAGAGUAAUGGGAAAAGCAGAGGGAGUGGCUGGGAGUUCUACUUCCAUGGGCUGUGUUCUGUAUGCAACACUCUGUGUUUUUUUUGCAGCAACAUGGAUACUGAGCUUAUUCAAAACCUGCAAACAAUCUGACCUCAGUCGCCUACUACAGAUAUGUCUAGACUAGAAUUUUUUCUCCUGUUGUAACUUGCAUUUAUUAGUUGUUUGCCAAUUAGUGGAGUUGGUGAAGACAUUUGCAAUUGUAAAAGCUAAUCUAAACAUUCCAAGAAGAUGUGUUGCAGCAGUCAGACAUUUGUGGUUUACCUUUAGUUGUGCACUGAGGUAACUCACAAGAGUUUGCCUCGUGGAACGAGCACUUAUGGAGUGUUUAGACUUUCAUUUAUAAGCAUGUUAACCAGCUCAAGGUAAUUGGCAAUCAAUUAAGUUGAGCCACACAUCAAACCCAGUGUAAUACCCGCCCAUUCUAAUUUCAAAUUAAAAAAGAAAAAAUAAUGGUUAGUAUAGGCUUAGCUAAGUGGUCACAG